GAUGAAGAACGUAGCGAAAUGCGAUACUUGGUGUGAAUUGCAGAAUCCCGUGAACCAUCGAGUCUUUGAACGCAAGUUGCGCCUCAAGCCAUUAGGUUGAGGGCACGUCUGCCUGGGCGUCACAUAUCGUUGCCUGAUGCCAGUUUCCUCGUGAUGGGUGACUGUGCAGGGCGAAUGAUGGCUUCCCGUGAGCAUUGUUGCCUCAUGGUUGGUUGAAAAUUGAGUCCUUGGUAGGGAGCGCCGUGAUAGAUGGUGGUUGAGUGACGAACGAGACCCAAUCAUGUGAGACCCCUACCGAAUUUGGCCUUCAUGACCCACAUGCGUCUUUGGAACGCUCAUGACGAGACCUCAGGUCAGGCGGGGCUACCCGCUGAGUUAAGCAUAUCAAUAAGCGGAGGA
rnacentral:misc_RNA from 1 species